UACGUAGGAGACGAGCGUUGUCCGGAAUCACUGGGCGUAAAGCGCGUGUAGGCGGAUGAGCAAGUCUGCUGUGAAAGCUCCUGGCUUAACCGGGAGUGGUCGGUGGAAACUGCUCGUCUGGAGGACGGUAGAGGUAGGUAGAAUUCCCGGUGUAGUGGUGAAAUGCGUAGAGAUCGGGAGGAAUACCUGUGGCGAAGGCGGCCUACUGGGCCGGACCUGACGCUGAGACGCGAAGGCGUGGGGAGCGAACGGG
rnacentral:rRNA from 1 species